rnacentral:rRNA from 1 species
AUGGGUUCGUCGCCCUCCAAGGCCGCCGGCGGCGGCGGCGGCGAGGGCGCCCUGGCCCUGUGCAAGGAGCGGCUGCGGCGCAUCAGGCGGGCCAUCGAGUCCCGCGACGCGCUCUCGGCGGCGCACCUGUCCUACACCCGCUCCCUGCGCGGCGUGGGCACCGCGCUGCGGCGGCACGCCGAGGCCGCCAACCUGUCGCCCGAGUCGUCGCUCUCCAUCUCCGAGGCCGGCAGGUCGCCGUCGCGCUCCUCCAUGGCGUCCCCGUCGCCGUCGCGCGCGGCGGAGGCGGACAACACCGCCGGGGGCUCCUCGUCCCCGAUGCUGGCGAUGCAUCGAGGAGGGGAUCGCCUGGCUUCCCCGUCGUCGGCGGCGAGGGUCCACUGCAUGAAGGCCGGGGGGACUGCUCCUCUGACGUUCACGGUCGAUCCGUCCGCCGCUGAGUUUGUGGGGCAGGAGUCCCCCGUCUCCGCCUUCGUGCCGCCGCCGCCGCCGUUGUCCUCGGAGGAAAUGAGUGCCUCAUGGGAUUUCUUUGAUGCUCCUGGUGCUGCCAGAGCAAACAAUGUGGAUGGGCUCACCUUGAACUUCGAUAGGCUGAAGGGCUUGAGAGAGUCAUGGGAAGCUGAGCCGGUGACAUUGAGUGAGGAACCGGCAAACAGGUUCACUAGAUUUCAUUCAGAAUCAGAGAUUACCGAUGAUAACACGGUGCCGAAGCAGGAAAGCAAAGCAGCACAAAGAGGGGUCAGUAAAGCAAGUGGGCUGGUGGCUGCUUCUGAUGAAGGGGCUUCUUCUGAGCAGGUUGUGCCAAAGGCGGAGGAAGGGGAUUCGAAAAGAGAAUCACACACAGAAACAGAGGACCCCUCCGAGUUCAUCACUCAUCGAGCAAAAGAUUUUGUGUCAAGCAUGAAGGAAAUUGAAACCCGCUUUAUACGUGCUGCUGAAGCCGGGAAUGAGGUUUCAAGAAUGCUUGAGACAAAGAAGAUCAGACUUGAUAUAUCUGCUAAAAUACCAGGUUCUCCAGGCAAACCUACUGCCCGAUUCGUAUCAGCCCUUCGAGUCUGCUGCAAUCGUCAAAUUCUUCUCAAUCAGGAAACCGCACAGCAUGUUUCAAAUGUUGUUACUUGGAAACGUUCAGUCUCGUCUCUAUCAUCGUCAUCUAAAAGUCCACUUACGACUUCGAUGAUUCAAGAUGAUGUGGAUGAUAGUAAUAAUGAUUUUAUUGAGCAAUUUGCUAUGGUGUCUGGAAGCCAUUCUUCUACAUUGGAUAGGCUACAUGCAUGGGAGAGAAAAUUAUAUGAUGAAAUCAAGGCAAGUGAAAAUGUCAGAAAGACUUAUGACGAGAAAUGUAACCUUCUCCGGCACCAAUUUACACGAGGUCUAAAUGCAGAACUCAUUGAUAAGACUCGAGCUGUUGUGAAGGAUCUGCACUCCAGGGUUUCUGUUGCAAUCCAGGCUGUUGAUGCAAUCUCAAAAAGAAUUGAGAAAAUAAGGGAUGGAGAGCUGCAGCCACAACUUGUUGAGCUCAUUCAAGGAUUAAUUAGGAUGUGGAAAGCAAUGCUGGAAUGCCACCACAAACAAUUCAUUACAAUAUCACUGGCAUACCAUGUAAAAACUUCAACCUCGGUGCAGCAAGGGGAGCAUCACCGCCAGGCGGCAAUGCAUCUGUGUAAUGAGAUGGACUGCUUUUCGUCAACCUUCAGGAUCUGGGUCACUGCUCAGAAGUCAUAUGUGCAUGCCCUCAACGAAUGGCUCCAGAAGUGCAUCCUGCAACCACCCCAGGAACGACGCCGUCGGAAGCGGAAGACCUCAUUUCCUCCUCGCCAGGCAGUCUCCCCUCCAAUAUUCAUCCUCUGCAGGGACUGGCUUGACAUGAUGGAGUCGCUCCCCACUGAUGAGCUAUGCAAGUCCAUUAAAGACGUAAUGCAGCUCUUGCGUGACUCGUUCGAGCAUCAGGCUGAUCAAACUAAACUGAGAAGAGAGCCACAUUCCAGGAGUGAGUCUCAGGAAUGUGUGAUGCUGGAAAAUAAUGAGCAGGAAUCAAGCGGCGGGGUAGCACUGGUGGAAGGGUUACAGUCAAAACUGACGGUAGUCCUUGAUUGUCUGACGAAGUUUUCUGAGGCUUCACUGAAGCGCCAUGAGCAGCUCAAGCUGAAUUAUGAGGAGGCUCAUGACAAGUACAAGACAGUCGAGCCAAGUGCUCAUCCAGUUUAA